rnacentral:rRNA from 1 species
GACGUAGGGCGCGAGCGUUGUCCGGAUUUAUUGGGCGUGAAGAGCUCGUAGGCGGCUUGUCGCGUCGUCCGUGAAAACUCACAGCUCAACUGUGAGCUUGCGGUCGAUACGGGCAGGCUAGAGUUCGGUAGGGGAGACUGGAAUUCCUGGUGUAGCGGUGAAAUGCGCAGAUAUCAGGAGGAACACCGGUGGCGAAGGCGGGUCUCUGGGCCGAUACUGACGCUGAGGAGCGAAAGCGUGGGGAGCGAACAGG